rnacentral:rRNA from 1 species
UACGAAGGGUGCAAACGUUGCUCGGAAUUAUUGGGCGUAAAGCGCACGUAGGCGGCUUUGCAAGUCCCAUGUGAAAGCCCACGGCUCAACCGUGGAAGUGCAUGGGAAACUGCAGAGCUUGAGUACUUAAGAGGAUCGCGGAAUUCCCGGUGUAGAGGUGAAAUUCGUAGAUAUCGGGAGGAACACCAGUGGCGAAGGCGG